ACGGGGGGUGCGAGCGUUGUCCGGAAUCACUGGGCGUAAAGGGCGCGUAGGUGGUUUGAUAAGGGUGUGGUGAAAGUCCGGGGCUCAACCCCGGAUCUGCCGUGCCGACUGUCAAACUCGAGGGCUGUAGAGGCAGACGGAAUUCCGGGUGUAGCGGUGGAAUGCGUAGAGAUCCGGAGGAAGACCGGUGGCGAAGGCGGUCUGCUGGGCAGUUUCUGACACUGAGGCGCGACAGCGUGGGGAGCAAACAGG
rnacentral:rRNA from 1 species